rnacentral:rRNA from 1 species
UACGAAGGAUGCAAGCGUUAUCCGGAUUUAUUGGGUUAAAGGGAGCGUAGGCGGUCUUAUAAGUCAGUGGUGAAAAUCUCGUUGCUUAACAACGACCGUGCCAUUGAUACUGUAGGACUUGAGUACAGUUGCCGUUGGCGGAAUGUGUCAUGUAGCGGUGAAAUGCAUAGAUAUGACACAGAACACCGAUUGCGAAGGCAGCUGACGAAACUGUAACUGACGCUGAGGCUCGAAAGCGUGGGGAUCAAACAGG